CCUCCCCUUCCCUCAGCCUCCCUCCCCCUCUCUCACUGCCUUUCACAGCCUGCGUUUGCUUUCGGAGAGAUGUGGUAACACAUCGUUACAGGGAACCAAGUUUGCGGCUGAGGGACGGAGCCUUGCUGUGUGGACCUCCCGCCGUCACAGCACCUGCUGCCAGGACUGCCUCAUACACCUUGCCCGGACCGCUCACUACUUGCUCGGCAUUGAGAGCGCUCCUCUGACAACUUCUCCCCCGGCUACAAGUUUCUGUGCCCGAGCUGGGAAUCUCCUCCCGGGCUGCUUUGUGAGCUCUGACAUUGGCUGGACGUCCCAGUACCUGCGUCCCCAGGUUAUUACCUAGACCAGCCCGCGGGAGGGCAGUGUGCCAGCCGAGAGCCCGGCCAGAGAGGCAGCUGAUUCCGGGGCAGGAGCCACAAGUGCCCCCUUUCCCUCCUACCCUUACAGUCAGGCAGUCCGGGCAUCUCCUCCAGCAGGACUAUGGCAGCCGGUGCAGGGACCCUGCUGACAGUGUGCUUGCUGUGUGCGGCCACCCUGAGGACAGGUAUGGAUC